GUGGGGAAUAUUGGACAAUGGGGGCAACCCUGAUCCAGCGACGCCGCGUGUGUGAAGAAGGCCUGCGGGUUGUAAAGCACUUUUAGUGGGGAGGAAAACCCCCGACCUAACACGUCGGGAAUUGACUUAACCCAAAGAAAAAGCACCGGCUAACUCUGUGCCAGCAGCCGCGGUAAUACAGAGGGUGCAAGCGUUAAUCGGAAUUACUGGGCGUAAAGCGUGCGUAGACGGUUUAUUAAGUCGGAUGUGAAAUCCCCGGGCUCAACCUGGGAAUUGCAUUCGAGACUGAUCAGCUAGGGUACGGAAGAGGGAAGCGGAAUUUCCGGUGUAGCGGUGAAAUGCGUAGAUAUCGGAAGGAACAUCAGUGGCGAAAGCGGCUUCCUGGUCCAGUACCGACGUUCAGGCACGAAAGCGUGGGGAGCAAACAGGAUUAGAUACCCUAGUAGUCC
rnacentral:rRNA from 1 species